rnacentral:rRNA from 1 species
AGUACCUACGGGGCGCAGCAGUGAGGAAUAUUGGUCAAUGGCCGAGAGGCUGAACCAGCCAAGUCGCGUGAGGGAAGACGGCCCUACGGGUUGUAAACCUCUUUUGUCGGGGAGCAAAGCGAGUCACGUGUGACUCAUUGAGAGUACCCGAAGAAAAAGCAUCGGCUAACUCCGUGCCAGCAGCCGCGGUAAUACGGAGGAUGCGAGCGUUAUCCGGAUUUAUUGGGUUUAAAGGGUGCGCAGGCGGAGGUGCAAGUCGGCGGUCAAAUUGCGGGGCUCAACCACGUACGGCCGUUGAUACGGAA